AAGGCAUGCAGUCGAGCGAGAACCCAGCAAUGGGGGACAGCGGCGUAAGGGACAGUAAUGUGUAGAUUAUCUGCCCUCGGGACCGGGAUAGCUGCGGGAAACUGCAGGUAAUACCGGAUAACAUCUCCGGAUCAAAGGUGUGAUUCCGCCCGAGGAUGAGUCUGCAUCCUAUUAGCUAGUUGGCAGGGUAAUGGCCUACCAAGGCUUUGAUGGGUAGCGGGUGUGAGAGCACGACCCGCGUCAUUGGGACUGAGACACUGCCCAGACACCUACGGGUGGCUGCAGUCGAGAAUCUUCGGCAAUGGGCGCAAGCCUGACCGAGCGACGCCGCGUGUGGGAUGAAGGCCUUCGGGUUGUAAACCACUGUUAGAGGGGAUGAAAUGCACGUGGGUUCUCCCCUCUGUUUGACAUAGCCUCAGAGGAAGGACGGGCUAAGUUCGUGCCAGCAGCCGCGGUAAGACGAACCGUCCAAACGUUAUUCGGAAUCACUGGGCUUAAAGGGUGCGUAGGCGGCGCGGCAAGUUGGGUGUGAAAUACCUCGGCUCAACCGAGGAACUGCGCCCAAAACUGCCGUGCUCGAGGAAGAUAGAGGUGAGCGGAACUUAGGGUGGAGCGGUGAAAUGCGUUGAUAUCCUAAGGAACACCGGUGGCGAAAGCGGCUCACUGGGAUCUUUUCUGACGCUGAGGCACGAAAGCUAGGGUAGCGAACGGGGAUUUAGAUACCCCGGUAGUCCUAGCCGUAAACGAUGAGCACUGGGAUUGGGAGGGUCCUCCAUAGCCUUUCCAGUCGCAACGAAAGCGUUAAAGUGCUCCGCCUGGGGGAGUAUGGGUCGCAAGGCUGAACCUCAAAGGAAUUGACGGGGGCUCACACAAGCCGGUGGAGGAUGUGCUUAUUCGGAGGCCUACCCCAAAAACCUUUAUCCUAGUUCUUGACA
rnacentral:rRNA from 1 species